GACGAACGCUGGCGGCGUGCUUAACACAUGCAAGUCGAACGAAGUGGCGAACGGGUGAGUAACGCGUAAUCAUCCUGCCCUUCAGAGGGGGACAACAGUUGGAAACGACUGAUAAUACCGCAUACUGAAGGUGGUGAUUGCGUCUGAUUAGCAAGUUGGAGGGGUAACGGCCCACCAAGGCGAAGAUCAGUAGCCGGUCUGAUGGGAUUACGGGCCAAAUUGGGACUGAGACCAGGCACAGACUCCUACGGGAGGCAGCAGGGGGGAAUCUUCAGCAAUGGACGAAAGUCUUAAGGCGCAACGCCGCGUGAGUGAUGACGGCCUGCGGGUUGGAAAGCUCUGUUAAUCGGGACGCGGUACCGGAAUAGAAAGCCACGGCUAACUACGUGCCAGCAGCCGCGGUAAUAC
rnacentral:rRNA from 1 species